rnacentral:rRNA from 1 species
AGUGAACGCUGGCGGUAGGCCUAACACAUGCAAGUCGAACGGCAGCACAGGAGAGCUUGCUCUCUGGGUGGCGAGUGGCGGGCGGGUGAGGAAUACAUCGGAAUCUACUCUGUCGUGGGGGAUAACGUAGGGAAACUUACGCUAAUACCGCAUACGACCUACGGGUGAAAGCAGGGGACCUUCGGGCCUUGCGCGAUUGAAUGAGCCGAUGUCGGAUUAGCUAGUUGGCGGGGUAAAGGCCCACCAAGGCGACGAUCCGUAGCUGGUCUGAGAGGAGGAUCAGCCACACUGGAACUGAGACACGGUCCAGACUCCUACGGGAGGCAGCAGUGGGGAAUAUUGGACAAUGGGCGCAAGCAUGAUCCAGCCAUACCGCGUGGGUGAAGAAGGCCUUCGGGUUGUAAAGCCCUUUUGUUGGGAAAGAAAUCCAGCUGGCUAAUACCCGGUUGGGAUGACGGUACCCAAAGAAUAAGCACCGGCUAACUUCGUGCCAGCAGCCGCGGUAA